UACAGGGGGUGCAAACGUUGCUCGGAAUCAUUGGGCGUAAAGCGCACGUAGGCGGUCUGUUAUGUCGGAUGUGAAAGCCCUUGGCUCAACUGAGGAAGUGCAUCCGAAACUGAGUGGCUUGAGUACCAAAGAGGGUCGCGGAAUUCCCGGUGUAGAGGUGAAAUUCGUAGAUAUCGGGAGGAACACCGGUGGCGAAGGCGGCGACCUGGGUGGAAACUGACGCUGAGGCGCGAAAGCGUGGGGAGCAAACAGG
rnacentral:rRNA from 1 species